GCUGUGAUGAUUCCCACUCGCACGUGUUAGACUUCUGAUGCGGAUGAAGCCAAACCUGGGCUGAGC
rfam:Alligator mississippiensis ScZkoYb_42.1, whole genome shotgun sequence.